AUACGUAGGUGGCAAGCGUUGUCCGGAAUUAUUGGGCGUAAAGGGAGCGCAGGCGGGAAGGUAAGUCGGUCUUAAAAGUGCGGGGCUCAACCCCGUGAUGGGAUCGAAACUAUCUUUCUUGAGUGCAGGAGAGGAAAGUGGAAUUCCUAGUGUAGCGGUGAAAUGCGUAGAUAUUAGGAGGAACACCAGUGGCGGAGGCGACUUUCUGGACUGUAACUGACGCUGAGGCUCGAAAGCCAUGGGAGC
rnacentral:rRNA from 1 species